ACCUAGGGGGAGAAUUUGGGAAGAUUCUCCUAAUGGUUUUCAAAUUAGAUAUCCCCAGAAAUUAUGAAAUCAAUUCCCUUGGAAAUCAAAAUCAUCAAUGAUCUCUCCCAAAGGAGUGGUUCCUUAGGAUUUCAGGACAGACUUAGUCACAAUGUGAAAGCAAUGUUCAUCUGGGGAAAUCAUUCACCAUUUAAUACUUAUUUGAAAACACUCUCUUCCCCCAUACAGUAAUCUUGUUUUCUGAACAUAGUGACCAAAAUCUAUGGCUAUGCAAUUCAAUUAUCUUUCAUUUGAGUUUUUACAAUAGAUUCCUGAUUAGUUAGUACCCCAGUCCCAAGCGUGUUCUCUUUCUAGGGUCUACAGAACUUCCAAAUUAAUAUCUGUAACCUACAGUUCUGCCGUAUCAUUUCCCUGUUCAAUAAAAAUAAGUGGCUCCUCACUUCCUCUAGGACCAAAUAUAAAGCUCUCUUGUUUAUCAUUUAAAGUCUUUCACAACCUGAUCCCAACCCACAUUUCCAGAAUGAUUUUGUUUUACUCUUAUUACAUUAUUUUAUGUAUCCAACCUGCUUUCUUUUAGGUCAGUGCACACAAUAUUCCAUUUUUCUUCUGUAAGACACCUAAAGCUGAUUCCUUAGUCAGACAAGACACAAAGAAAGUAUAAUUAUGGCUUCAGUAUGCCAUUCAUGAUAAUUCCAAAAGUCUGUUGUCAAUGUCAAUAGAGUCAGUUUGCUAAAAGAGAAGUGUCUAAUUCAAAGUAUGAAACUAGGAUUAAAGUGGGAUUACAUGAAAACUGUAAGGAACAGCUAUUGUAAUAAUAGUAAUUAAUAAUUUUGUUAUAAUAAUAGGUAAUAUUUAUAUAGCACCUUAAAGUUUGCAAAAUGUUGUAUGUAUAUUAUCUCUAUAGACCCAAUGAAUCCCACCCAUACCAUAUCAGUAAAAAUCUUAUUCUUAGCUUCAAAAAAUCAAUUUCAUAAGUAGGGAGGAAUUAGAGAAUAUAGUUAGAGGGAAAUUUUUCCUGAAAACAGCUCUGGGAUUUAAGUGAUAAUAGCCUUGCUAUGAACUGUCCUGGUCAGCUGACAUCCAGAGAAUUAUGUUCAAUUCUGAGUGUACCAUUUUGGGAAGGAUUUUGAUAAACUAGAAAAUGCCCCAAAGAGAGAAUUAGAAUUAUAACAGGUUUUGAAAUUAGUUGAAGACACUCAGAAUGCUUAUCCUAUCAGAGAAAAGAUGUAAAAGUUGGGGAGGGGGAUAGCUAUUUUCAAGUAUCUGAUGGGUUGUCAUGAUGCAAAAAGGAUUAGACUUGGUCUGUUUGGCCUAGAUAUAGUCAUGGGCAGAAGUUGUAACCUGAUAAAUUUAAGCUUAAUGGGAAAAGCUUAAGGGAAACCUCCAAGCAGUAGAAACUAUUUCCAAAAUGGAAUGGGUUGUCUCAGGUGGUGGUAGACUCCCUUUCACUAUAUGUCAUCAAUCAAAGGCACAAUACGUUGUAAGAGACAUUCUUUUUCAGGCAAAGGUUAGACUAAAUGUUCUUGGAAGGUCCUUUGGACUCUGAAAUUCUAUUGCUCUGUAAUUUGCAGUCAUUCCAAGAUAUAUCAAACUAUCUAAAUAGAUAUUCUACGAUUGUUAACUAUUUUCUUCCCCAUACUAGCAUUUGCAAGUAUAUAAUUCAUUUGCAACCACACCAUGGGAUUUAGCAAUCAGGAUGCAAAUAAUUCUCUGAACUUCUCAAAAUUUCAGUGUCUGUACAAAUCUCCCAAUGCAAAAGUCAAUAAAGAUAUCCAAAUCACCAAUAGGGGAUCCUCAUAUUCCCUGAUUUAACAGUUCAUGUCAUAUGCAUUCAGAAAUCACCAAAGUUCACAUCUAAUAAGAUAUUAACUACCCAUGCAGAGUUGGAACUUUCUCCCAUUAAUGACAUUCCCAAAUGCCAUUGAUAGCUUAAAGUAAUAUAGCAAAGAACAUUUUUAAAAGGUCAUGAAAUGAAAGUAUUUUAACAUAUUCUUUAAAAAAAAAUCCUUACCUUCCAUUCUAGUAUCAAUACUAUAUAUUGGUUCCAAGGCAGAGUGAUAAGGGCUAGGCAAUAGGGGUUAAGUGACUUGCCCAGGGUCACACAGCUGGAAAGUGCCAAACACCAGAUUUGAACUCAGGAACUCCCGUCUCUGGGCCUGACUCUCAAUCCACUGAGGUACCCAGCUAUCCCCUUUUAACAUAUUCUAAUGCUGAUGUAGAGCUGCCAACCUGAAAACACACACACACACACACACACACACACACACACACACACACAAAUUCACAACUUUAGUUUUCCUGAAAGGAGAAUGAGAAAUAUAUGAUGUGACUGUAGUACAUUAACAAAAAAUCAUUUACCAAAAGUCUUAUGAAAGAUAUCAUCAAAGAAAUAUCAAUCAAAAAGCAUUUAUUUAUCACCUACUAUAUGCCAGGCAAAAGGCAAAAAAAGUUCCUACUUUCAAACAGUCUUCAGUUUAUGAGAAGAAAGCCUACAACUAUAUACAACUGUAUACAAACAAAGUAGACUGUAUACAGAUAAGUUAGAGGUGAGCAACAAAGAGAAAGCACUAUGUGACAAGGAAAUCACUUUUAAAAGACUGAUAUAUAUUAAUUUAAGGUCGCCAAGGAAUUCAGCUAUGUAAUUCCUUAAUGAAAACUCAAGUCAGCCGUCAACCUUUUAUGGAGUUUUAAUUACAAACAGGAGGAAGAAAGGAAUUAGAGAUAGAGAGAUAGAGGGAGAGAGAAAGGGGAGAGAAGGGAAUAGGGCUUAAAUACCCCUUCUGUUUAGGCUGGGCCAAAAGGCCCAAGCCCUUAGAUAGCUGGGCAAUGAAAGGAGAUCAGUCCCUAUUACUCACGUGACCAAAAAUGGAGAAACAGUCUCCAGGGCCCCCACCUUCAGCUUCCUUCAGCGCAAGCUUCUCAGAGCACACCGCAACCACUCCGACAAACUCCUCCACCACCUCCUCGCGUCUUCAGACCCCCCCUAUCCUUAAGCAAACCAUCCAAGUUCCCUCCCCUCAGUCCUCACAUCUACCAAUCACCUGUCCAUCAAUUUCCCUGUGCCAAUGGAGGCUCUAGCUUAACCCAGGACCGCCCAGAGGUCUCUGGCUUUGCACAUGUCUGUUGAAGGUCAUAUUUUCAAAUAAUUAAAUCUUUGAUCCUUUGCUACAGCCCUUUCUAAAUCCUGUUAACCUGAGUAGGGUAGAGAUUGAUUCCAAGUAUCUCCAUUGUAUCAAUUCUAAAAUCAAUCAUGACUCAAAGAAAUUCCUGUUCUAUGCUUAAGCAUAGGUCAAAGUCCUUUCCAUUGUUCAACAAAAGGUUUCUGUCCUAAAGUAAUCUUAAGAAGGGAGGAGAAGGAACCUCCCAUGCCAAUGGGGUUCACAUUCCAAUAGUCAAGACCCACUAUCAAUAGGAAAUUUUUCAAGUAUGAAAUUUCCCAAUGGUGAAAUUUCCAACAUUUAUAAGUCUAAGAAAUUUUGAGGUUUACAACUAGCAACAUUAAGGGAGAACCAAUGAAGGCUUUUUGUUGAUGGUGAGGUUUUAGCUGGGAUUAAGAAGUCAGGAAGGCAAAAAUGAGGAGGGAGAGGAUUCUAGGCAUGGGGGAGAGGUGAUAAAAGUCCAUAAGAGUCAGGAGAUAGAAUUAUUUGCUUGGCAAAGAGCAAAGAGGUUAGUGUUGCAAAAUUGCUGAGCAAAUAGGGAAGAAUAAAGUAUAAGAAGACCAAAAAGGUAGAAGGGUUAUGCUUAUGAGAGGAUUUAAAAGACAAAGUGGUUUUAUAUUUGAUUGUGAAAGUGACGGAGUCACUGGAAUUCAGUGAGGGAGAGGGUGACAGUCAGAUUUCAGUGCUAGAAAGAUCAUUUUGACCACUGAGUGAAGUACAGAUGCCAUAAGGAGAAAUUUAUGACAGGGAGACCAAACAUCAGGCUAUUAGUCCAGGUGAGGUGAUAAGACUGUAUAAGACUGGUGGGAAAGUCAAAGAUUGAUGUUAGAAAGGUAGAACCAAAAGCCCUGGACAACAGAUUGCAUAUGGAGUGCUAAGGGAUGAGAGAGAUUGGGGAGCCAUGGAUGAUACCUAUGUUGUGUUCCUGGGUGUUUGGGAGAAUGAUGAUACUUCUGAUAGUAAUUGGGAAGUUUGGAAGAGAAAAGGGUUUUGAAGAAAAAAGAAUCCCCUUUUGGAGUUGAAUAUAAGAUCUCUAUCAGAGAUCCAAUUCAAAAUUUGAAAUAGACAUUUGAAUAUUUGAAACUGAAAGUUAGCAAAGAGGUUGUCUAUGUUUGGGUGCGUAGAUCUGAAAAUCAUUGGUGUAGGGUAACUGGUAGAUAUGGAUUGAGUAAAUCACAAAGUUAUCAGAGAUGGUGGUACAGACUGAAUUUGAAAGUAGCAACAGAGAAAAAGAGGAGUAUUGCAACUCCCUCACCUUGAUCAAUAAAUUGAGGGGUGAAUGAGUGAGAGUGCAGUUAGUAACUGAAAGGGUUUCCAAGCUAGGUGACUCAAUGGCUAAAGACCUAAACUCAGAGACAAGGCAAUCCUGGGUUCAAAUAUGCUCUCCUACACUUUGUAGCUGUGUAACCUUGGACAAGUCACAGUCCCAAUUGCCUAGCCCUUACUGCUUUUCUGCUUUGGAUCAAUUCUAAGAAAGAAGGUAAGGGCUUUAAAAAAAAAGAUGAAAGCAAGUUCAUUAUCUAAGAAGCAGGUAUCUGAGGGAGCAUAGUUCAAAAAUGGGUAUCUGCAAAAUGAGUGAGACUUGGCAGGAUGUGGGGGAGAGGGGAAGGAGCAGGAGCGCAUUAAAGGGGUUGAGAAUAAAAAUGAACAAUAAGGGAAUGGGAAUCAGGUUGCAGUAAUGAUAGUCAGUGAUUAAGAACCAUUGGAAUGAUGAGGGUAUGGCCAAGGGGGAGUUUGUUAAUCAUUGAGAAAUGAAUUCAUUUCGGUUCUUAACAACCCUAAGGAUUCAGCCUUUGAGUGGAGUCCCUUCAGCUCUUAGGUUUCAGUGUAUAGUAGGGAGAGGAAGGAAGUGAAGGGUGUGCACUGAGGCAGGUUCUGGUGAGGAGACUAGGAGAGGAAUAAAAUGAAAUAGCAUUUCUCUCCUUUCUUUUUGCAAGCAAUCCAGGCUAGGUCAGGAGUAUGCCAGAAGGAGCAUCAUGGUAUAUAGCAUCUGGCUCCUUCUCCUGGCCCCAUCAUGCAGCGACAGAGAAGAAUUUCAGAUAGACAGCCCAUGGGCUUGGCCAUAAGCUACACAAGGACAAGAGACCUAGAAAAAGGUCAUUAGAUGACUGGAUGAGCUUCCAGAGGAAGACUUAUAGCAAUAACUGGAUGUAAAUCACACCAGAUGAGCAAAAAUGGUUGUGUUUGCACGAUUCCAGGCAGUAGAAAAAUUGAAGAGAUCACAGACAGUAAAUCAUACUAAAUCUCAAUUUGAAUCCCGUUGUCAAAUUAAGAUAGUUGUUUUGGGGAAUAGAACUCAGACAUUGUACAAACCAAGCUGUAACUUAGUAUUUUCCUAGACCCAAGUCAUAUUUUCCCACUUUGAGCUUGAGGAAUUCUAUUCCAUCUCUGAACUCAGGGAGGUGAGAGAAGACUAAUUGUCUUCAUUCUUCAUCUUCAUGCUCUGCUUGUUUUCAUGUUUAAUCCUCUUUGGGGACCAAAAGCUGAAAGGCUUGGACUUUUAACUCCAGCUUUAUGAACUCUAAACUGGAUUUCUGUUGUGCCUCAUAGAAGAAGGGAAUAUUUGUUUCAUGCAGUUGCUUAAUUCUCCAUAGCCCACUUAUGUUAUGCUGAAAGUUUUUAAAAACACUUCUAAAAAUGGAUAUCUCUAACUCUGAUCCUGUCAUAUACAGUGGGAAAAGGACUGGAUUUAAAAUCAGAAAACCUUUGACCUUUAAUCAUAACUCUUCUGCAUACUAUGGGUGUGACCUUGGACUGUUCAAUUAACUUCUCUAGUCUCAGUUUCCUUAUCUGUAAAAUGAGCUGAUUAUACCAGAGAUCUCUAAGCUCUAAGUCAAUAUUUCUAUUAUCUUGUCCCCCCCAUCCCAAGACUUUUCACCUUUAAGAGAACCCAUAAUUAUACAUUCUAGAUAGUCUCCAUCCUUAUAACUAGAUAAAUUAAUCCAGUAUGUGAUCUUAAGGAAUUGAAAAACAACUCUGAAUUCCCUUGUGCAUGAUUGAAUUUGUUGAAAACACUCCUAGUAUUAUACAUACAGAAGAAAUAUGAAAAGAUACAUGUGCACUUACUUCACUAGCUGUACCGCCCCCCUCCCAAUCUUAGCUCUCUGCCCCAGUUUCUGAGAGAGGAAGCAACUAAGUUCUGAUAAAUUGUCCCACUCAAAAUCUAAUAACUCAAGAGAUCUAAAUUCAGGAAGGAAAAUGAAAUUGAAUACCAUAUACACCAAAAUAGUUAUUGCAUCACCUUUUUUAAAGUAAUAUAGAACUAAGACAAAGUAGAUAGAAAUGGACUGUAUGAAUAUGGAAUGGAAUGGAUAAACAACUUGUGGCAUAUAAAUAUGCUUAUUUAUAUGCAUUUUGUCUCCAGCAUUAGAAUACAGCUAGGUUACAAUUUAAAUAAUGAAUCCUAUAAUGUAGUUUUAUGCAUUCAAAUUCACACUACUCAAAGUUAAAAUUAUAUAAAAUAGGUUAAUUGGUUGUAUGCAUUCCUUCAGGGCAUGGACUGUUUUUGUCUUUUCUUUUAUGUCCAGUGAUUAGCACAGUGCCUGGCACAUAUCAAGUACUUAUUAAAUAUUCAUUUAUUCAUUCAUUAAUUCAUUGAUGUAUUAAAAAUAACUGUAAGCAACAAUAAGGAGGAAGAAUGCAUAUGAUCAUGAGAAGACUUAAAUGCACUAAGGCAAAAUGAAGAACCAGGGAAAAAAUCGACCUCUAGUGAAUCUAAUAAAAAAUGGAAUGACAAUAUCAAAAUAAUCAUAAUUGAAUGAUGUGAAAUUAUAAUGACCAAGUUUGGUCUCCAACCAAAAUAUAUGACAAUGUACCUCUCUCAUUUCUUUCAAAGGUGGAGAGCUUUGAAUAUGGAAUUCUGCAUAAAAGGUUAAACUUGAUUGAUGAAUUGGUUAGUUUUUUUUUUCUUUUGUUAUUAAGGGAUGGCUUUCUUAGAAAUGAGUGAUCAGGCACAUGUAAGGAAAUAUAUAUGAUACAGAAUCAAAACAUAUCAAUGAAAAGGGGAAAAAAAAGAAAAUGGAGCUGAAUUCUUACAAAUGAACCAAAUCUAGAAGAGAGCUAUGUGAACCAGUGAUUGAGAACUAGGUCUAGAGCUAGGAAAUCCUGGGUUCAAAUCUAGUCUCAGACACUACUGAGGACAUUUCUCAUAUCACCUGACCCUCUGCCCAUCCCCUGUCUGGUGUAAGGCAGGGGGCUCACAUGAGACAUGAGAGGUACAGUUUGGGCACUUGGUCUCUAACGUCUCUAAAAGGUUCAUCCUUACUGGCCUAGCCUUUACCACUCUUCUGCCUUGGAACCAAUACACAAUGUAGAUUAUAAGACCAAAGUUAAGGGUUCAAAAAAAUUAAUCAAACUAGAGGAAGCAGAACUUGGAUAGCUUUAGAAUAAACUAUUCAUAAACAAACUAAAAGAUAGAUGAGGAGCUUUAUAAAAUUUCUUUGGUAUCAGAGGCUAUAUCUACAUCUUUAAAGAGAUUUAGAUAUAGAUAGAUAUAGGAUAUAUUAUUCAGUCAUUCUAGCUGUUUCUGUUUUUGUAUCCCUGCCACACCUUCUAGAGAAAAGGCUCAAUAUUACCAAGUUAUAUCAUUUUAGUUAAUGAUGUGAAUAUUGGGAAAUUUCAAAUGAAACAUUAGAAGAGAUUAAAGAUUAAAGGUAAAAUCUACUCCUCUUUCAGGGAGACUAAUAGUCACCCUCAACAAAUUUAGGAAAUUUCAUAUUGUAAUAAUAGCAUUUGUAUUGUAUUGUAAUAAUAGCAUUUACAAAAUGUAUAGCUAGCCCUGGCGUGUAUCCUACAUGAAAUAAAUGAAUAUUCAAUUUGCAGUGAGCAUAAGGGCAUCAGAGGAAAACCUGAGAUUCCUUAAUGGGUUUUUCCAUGUCUCAGCUGAUUGACUGUUGAGAACAGAAAGAACAGUUCAUUCUUGGUAUCUUGAGCACUGCUAUUUAGUCAUUUGUGACAUCUAUAGGUCAUACAUCUAUUUUCCCAUCUGACUAAAACCAUACUUGCAUAAAGCUAGAUUUUCUUUUUCAUGCUAUAAAUUUGAAGGAUAGCUUCUCAUUUUUCAUUCUGAAAUAUAAAUCAGCUUUAUUAUUUUAUGGUAGCAUAUCCAUUUAUAGAUUAUAAGUAAAUGCUACUAAAAGCAGCUCUGGGUUUUAUUCUGUUCUUUGCAGUCAAAAGCCUGUUCACCAAAGUCUGUAUCCUGUCUCUAUAUGUAGAAAGGCAAACAAUAUAACUAGUGCUAUUCCAGGGAAGAUGCUCAGAAUUGCCAUUCCUGGUUCUAGUGAGCCAUGUUGGAGAACCAGGUUUUUGUCACAAAAAAAUCUAGAAUGAAAAGAGUUUUGAGGCAAAGAGAGUGAUUGACAGUAUCAAUGACUGCAGAGGCAAAAAAAAUAAGGUCUCAGAAAAGGUCAUUAGAUUUUUCAAUUAAAAGAUCUUUGGCAACCAUGGAGAGGGCAGAUUUAGUUGAGUGAUGAGACUGGAUUCCAGACAACCAAGAGUUAAGAAAAGACUGGGUGGUAAAAAAUUGGAGGCGUCAAUUGUAGAUACCCUCAAGAAGUUUAGCCACAAAAGGAAGAAAUUUAUGGGAUGAUAGCUAGCUGAAAAGGGUAGCAUAGGUGGGUGAUUUUUAAGUAUUGUGGAGCUUUUAGUAUGGUAUGUUUGUAAGCAGUAGAGAAUGAGUUAGUAGACUGGGAGAGAUUGAAGACUCAAGACAAAAAGAAUGAUGGAAAGUAAUCUUCAGGAGAAUGUGGUAUAGAAUGGGAUAAUUUGUGCAUGAAGAGGAGUUUGCUUAAUUCGAAGUAAGGAAGACAGGACAACAGAGUUCUCCAGUAAUGGCCUCAAUUAAAAAAAUGAUUUUAUUUUUAUUAUGCAAAACACACUUCCAUAUCAGUCACUGUCAUAAAAUUACAUAUAAAACCAUAAAUAUACUGAUGUGAAAGACAGUAUGCUUUGAUCUACAUAUGUCUGACUUGAACAAUUCUUUUCCUGGAGGUGGAUAGCAUUCUCUGUCAUAAAUCUUUCAACAUUGUCCCAGAUCAUUUCAUUUCUAAGAGUAGCCAGUUUUUCAUAUUUGAUCAUCAUACAAUAUUUCUCUUACUGUGUACAAUGCUCUCCCAGUUCUGCUUAUUUUGUUUUAUCAGUUCAUGCUGGUCUUUCCAGCUCUUUUUGAAAUCAUCUUCCUUAUCAUUUCUUAUAGCACAAUAUUAUUCUUUCACCAAUAUAUAUUACAAUUUGCUCAGCCAUUCUCCAACUGAUGGACAUCCUCUCAAUUCCCAAUUCUUUGCCACUACCAAAAGAACUGCUAUAAAUAUUUUUGUGCCAGUAAGUCCUUUCCUCUUUUUUCAUUAUCUCUUUGGUAUACAGACCCAGUAGUAGUCAUAGAAGGUCAAAGGGUAUGCAUAUAGCUCUUUGAGCAUACUUCCAAAUUGCCCUCUGGAAUGGUUGGAUCAGCUCACAACUCCACCAACAAUUCAUUAGUGUCCCGAUUUUGCCACCUACCCUCCAACAUUUAUCACUUUCCUAUACUGUGUUAAAUUUAAAUUGUGGUUGGUCUCUGAUUAAUUAGGUGGUCACUAGGGAUUUAAUUUCUAAAUCCCAAAAUGAAUUACUAAAGUAAAUGGAAUUUAUGGUAGUUUAUUUACAAUAUUUACAAUAGAAGGAAGAUAUUAAGGAAUGAGAGAGAGAAAAAAAAAACUCUGGCUUCUUCUGAUAUCAGUUAGAAUUUCUAAGCCCCAGCCAGGGGAAAGAGUCUCAAGAAAAUGGACCUUACCUUGAAGCUUCAUGCCUCCAGAAAGGAGGGGUCACUAAGUCAGCUUUUCACUCAGCACCUAUGACAGUCUUUAAGAAGUCUGGGUAUCAAUCUUCCAGUUACUCCUCUGUCCUUCACUUCAAGCCUGGGGGUUUCCCUCUUCAGUUGUUUUUUUGUCUACUUAAAGACCUGUUUAUCUUAUGUCAUCUCCUCUAAAUUUUCACAUCUACCAAUCACAGCAGAUGCUUUUUUCCAGGACUGCCCACUCUUUAGUUCUCACCUUCUUUGGUUAGAUUUUAUCUUUUGGGGUUACUUAAAUUCUUUUUUGUUAAGUACACCUUUUGUAGUUACUUAACACCUUUUUUUAGUUAAAAUCUAAAAAUAGAUUGUAGCUUUCAAUUCUAGCUUCACUAUAAAGGAAGAGCUAAGUACCUUCAUUGUUACAAAGAGAAGAUAGCUAAAUCCAAUCUUCACAACUGCCAUAUUGGCCAACCUAAUAGGUACGAGGUGGUACCUCAGCAUUGUUUUAAUUUGCAUUUCUGAUUAAGAGUGAUUUAGAACAAUUUUUCAGAUGAUUAUUGAUGACUGUUAUAAGGAGUUUUAUUAGGUUCAUUUAUGUUGUUAGAAGCAGAAGUUUCUAGGUUAGAGAAGGUUAAGUAAUAUAUCACUCAGGCUCUUUGUUAGAAGAAUUUCUUAAAAGUUCAUUAUAAUUUAAGGUUCUUCAUUUAGAUAGGUUAGUUUAGAUUGAGAAAUAUUAUUUAAGCUAAUUGAGGAUACUUUAAGGAGGUAUACUCUGUAGACAAGAAGAAGCUUCAAAGAAAGCAGCCAAUUUUAUUUUUAAAACCCCUAGGAUAUCCAAUGUGGGUUUUAUUUAGAGAUUUUUGGACUAAGAUCAAGAGAUUUUCUAUCCUAUUCCUAACUCCGAGUUUCUAUCUUUUUUUCCCUCUCCCUUUCUCUUCCCAUAGAAGAAAAUAAAUAAGGGUUGUAUUAAACUACUUCUGGCCUUCUAUCCACCACCUGCAAAUAGUUCAACCCUGAUAGUUUUAGUUUACUAUAACAGCUUCACAUUACCAAUUAUCUACCUAUUAUCAAUAUAUUAUCAGUUUAAUUAUAGUCAUAACAGCUUGGGUUUCAACAUAUCGCCUAUUAUUUGGCUCUGACAGCUUGGUAAGCCAUAGGAUUUUGAACCUAGAGUCAGUGAUAGGACAAAAACAAAUAAGAACCAUGGUAUUUAAGACUAUGCCUAACUGAUACAUGAGGAGAUGGUGCCAUCUUAUCUCCAAUAAUUUCCUGUAUCAAAAACAUCACUUUGAUUUCUUCAUCUGAAAAUUACUCAUUCAGAUCCUUUGACCAUUUGUCAAUUGGGGAAUGGCUUGAAUUCUUAUAAAUUCAAUUUGGUUCUGUAUAUAUUUAAGAAAUUAGGCCUUUAUCAGAGAAAUUUGUUAUAAAAUUUUUCCCAUUUGUUGUGUCCCUUUUAAAUCUUGUUUAUGUUAGUUUUGUUUGUACAAAAGCUUUUUAAGUUCCUAUAAUAACAAUUAUUCAUUUUACAUCUUAUAAUAUUCUCUGUCUCUUGUUUGAUCAUAAAUUCUUCUUCUAAGAUCUGCCAGGUAAACUAACCUGCAUUCUCCUAACUUAGUUAUGAUGUCACUCUUUAUAUCUAAAUAAUAUAUCUAUUUUGGCCUUAUCUUGGCAUAGGAAGUGAGAUAUUGUUCUAUACCUAGCUUCUGCCAUAUUGUUUUCCAAUUUUUCCAGCAGUUUUUAUUAAAUAGUGAGUUCUUAUUCCAAAAUCUGGGAUCUUUGGGAUUACAAACACUAAAUUGCUAAGGUCAGUUUUACCCCUUAAUAUUGUGUAUAAAUAAUUGGGAGAAUAGAAAAACUUUGAGUUUUCAGGAAUAAGACUCACCAGAGAAACAAAAGAGAGGAUAAAUCAUUGGGAAUUUAAAUAAAUACACGAGAGUGAAAGGCAAUUAGGGAGAAGAGAGGUUUAAAAGUAUUACCUCGCCCCAUUGAGAACCCAGUUAAUAUUAUAUAACAUAAAUUUGUAGUGGACCCAGUGAGCACAUUUUCAUGAUUUUCUCCAUUUUUGUCCAGUAGCACUAGAGUAUAAGCAAAGGCAAUAGAUGAUUGAAGUAAUCCAGAACUGAGAUUUGAAAGAAAAACAUCAAAAAUAAGAAAAGGGGACAAAGGAACUCAAGGGAAGACGAUAGUGCAGAGUUGAACUGGUUCACCACAGGGGCAAAAUAGGCUAAACAAGGAAGCUGGAGGCCUUAUGAAGUAUAUGCAUACCAAGGGGAUGCUCUAAAUUCUUGAUGAUGAUGAACAGACAAGAAUAUAAAUCACAACCCAGAAGACCAUAAAAUGGAAGAUAAUCUGGACCAAUGUCGUGACUACAGAUCCUCUGUAUUUCUUUAUUUCUACUAAUGACAUGAAAAUUACAAUAGAAACUCAUGUUAGAAAAUAUAGCCAUUGAAUGAUAAUAAAACAUAAAAUAAAAGACCUGCUAGUCUUGAAGAAGAGAUGAAAGAGUGAGCCUGUUUCAUUGGAAAGGUGGUCAAUUACAGGAAAAAAAUUUGGGGAGGCUUGAGAAGAAGACAUAAUUCUAUCCAUGAAUUCAUAAUGGAAGAGGAAAGGAAAGGCAAGUACAAUCUUAAUUACACUCCAAAUUUGAUGAGGGAAAUUUUCAAAGAUUUCAGAGAAAAGACAGGUGAACUUCAAUGUUCUUAUUCUGAUGAACAGUUAAAAAGGAAUCUGUUUAACGAGGUGCCAUGGUCACACAGAAAACUCAUUAGCCACUAGGGAUUUUUAAAAGAAAAAUAAUUUAUAUAAGAAGAUAAAAGCAACAUGCAAAGGAAUGGAAUAAUCCCAAAAGGUAAUUAAAAGAGCUGGUUCAAGUGAUGAAUACAUAAGUCAACGAAGAGAGCAUUUUAUUUAUUUUAGGGUAAAGAGCACACAAAAAAGGAUAGGACCAUUGCUUGAGUGGAUGAGAUGCUGAUAACUAAUGGUGAAAAAAUAAAUAACAGUGCUACUCAAAUAAUAUUUUUCUUCUGUUUUCUAAGCCUAAAGAUCAUUGUAUUGGGAUGGAUAGAAUAAAAAUGAUUAAUAGUUUGUUGAAUCCAAAGUAAGGAAAUGGACUCCAGUCUGAAUUCCUGACUCUCUGAACUUUUUCUAUCUCACAUGCAAUGGAAACUUCUUUAUCCUGAAUAUUGACUCCAUCCAAGGACUUCUCACACUGGAAGCACUCUCAGCCCCAAUGACCCCUUCCUCUGAUUGUUUGGCUACCCCCAGAACUUGUAUUUUAAGGAAGACACCUAGGCCAGACAUCUCUUCAUUACACUCCAGGCUCUACUCCUAGCUAUCUAGUCUUUCUUUAAUAUGCACCUAUAUGAUUCCCCCUAACCCUUUGUUGUUUCCCAUACUUCCAAAUUCCUCAACACCACCACGUUUUUAGCUUCCUUUCCUCUAAUAGAAUCUGAGUUCCUUGAGAGCUAGGACUAUCAUUCUUUCUUCCUGUAUUUUUAUUCCUAAUCCUUAACACAGUGCCUGGCAUAAAGUAAAUACCUCAUAAAUGCCUUUUGACUUAACUAAAAACAAAGGCCAAAAAAUUCGAGCUGCCAUUGAUGACUUCAGGUCCUGGUGGAUAUUGUUGCUGAGUUUGAAAGUGCUAGAUAAAAUAUGAGUGAAGCCAUAGGACUAGAGAAUGGCAAGUAUCCCGAUGUUCCCAAAAGAAAAUUCAAAGCUUGGUGAAUCUAAUUUCAAUUUCCUGGAAAAUUUCCAGAGAAAAUUAUAAAAGAAAUGAUUUGUGAAAAAAUUAAGAAGACAAAUGCCAAUCACUAAAUGACAUCUGGUCUUCAUUAGGAAGAAGUUAUGAUACCACACUAGCCUUUUUCCUUUCCUAAGUCAUUAGACUGAGUGAUCAAGGUAAUACUAUCGAUAUAGUUUAUAAAUAUGUAGAUACAUAUACCUGUCUGGAUUGAGAAAGAGAAAUAUGAUAUAAAUAUAUAUACAUAUAUAUUAAGUAACACUUAAGUACAAGAUGGAAAUUUGUAGACUGAAAAUCCCAAUAUUUCAGGAAGGAUGGUUCCACUUUUCUCUAAAAAAAUAAUUUUCUGGAUCUCUGUGUUAUAGUUGCUAUACCAUAAGUAUCUCUUCAUUAAGAAAAUAUAUAAUCAUAAUACUGAGUGUGCAUAUAGAUUUUAGGACCUCUUACAUUAACACCACAUAUAUGUAAGGUCCAAAGACAAUGGAAUAUAUGAACGUGUUGAUAGAUCAAUUCAGAACUGAAUGAAUUAACAGAUAUAAGAGUAAUCAUUAAUGAGUUGAUGUCAGAAUGAAGAGAUGGCUCAAGUGGAAUUUUCAAGAAAAUAUAUCUUGGCCUGUGUUCAUCAAUAUUUUUAUCAGUUAAGUCUAUUGAUAAACACGUGGUUCGUGAGCCAGAUACAAUGCAUGACAUUGUAUUCUAAAUUAGAUAAAAGAUAGUUCCGAACUGAUUUUGUUGUGUUUAUGUGCUAAUAAAAAACAAAUAUUUAAACAUGUAUGGUUUUCUAAAUCAAUAUGUGGCCCAUAGAUAUCCUUAGGUGUCUAUUAGUGACCCCAUGUUUUGAGUUUGAUACCACUGAUUUAGAUAAAACCAUUUAUAGCAUAGUAAUCAAAUUUAGAUGAUAAAAGCAUGUUGGAUGAGAGUCAUGACUGAAAAAGGAAAAGCUAAAAGGUAGAGAAAUUAGAUUAAAUUUAAAGAUAUAAACUUGGGUUCAAAAAAUUAAAUUCAUUAGGAUAAUAUAAGGAUUGUGUGAGUAGAUAUCCAUUGAUAGCCUACCUUAUAGUAACAAACAAAUUCAGGUUUAGCUCCUGACACACACUGCUGAUGUGACCUUAGGCAAGUUUCAUAACCUCUCAUAACCCUUGCACACAGAUCUAAGAUAGCACACUGAAGAACAGUUGCUUAUCUUUAUUGGUAGGGGAAGUUUUGACUAUAGCAAAUCCAUACACAAAAGAAUUCAAAGAUGCCAACCAUCUUCCAAAAAAUUCUGGGAUUUGCUUGGAUCAGAAGGUAAAUAUGAGUCAAAGGAGUGACAUAGAACCCAAAAUAAAUAACUAAUGUUAUCUUAGGCUAUAUUUCAAGAAGAAUAGUGUCCAGAACUCUUGUCCUUGGUCAGACAUCUUGGGAUGGACACUGAGAAUUUGAAAUGUACUCAGAGAACAAACAGGAUAAAAAGGGUUUUUGAGACGAUGUCAAAAUAAUCCUAGUAGAAAUUACCUAUAUGUACAAAAAUACUUAUAGUAGUUCUAUUCAUGGUGGCAAAGAGUUGGAAAUUGAGGGGAAGCACAUCAAGUUGUAGUAUAUGAUUGUGAUGGAAUACUACUAUGCUAUAAGAAAUAAUAAGUAAAAUCAGAAAAACAUGAGGAGUCUUAUAUGAGCUAGUGCAGAGUGAAGUGAAAGAACCGUGAGAUCAUUGUACCUAGUAAUAGCAAUAUUAUAAUGAUCAAAAUGUGGAAUGCUUAAAUACUCAGAUUAAUACAAUGAUCUAAGAGAGUGAUGACAAAUCUUUUAGAGACUGAGUGCCCAAAAUGCAAUCCUCAGCUGCGUUUGAGCCCCCCACCUUAUUCUAAACAAGGGAAGGAGGAAGGGCUUCCAUUGGGUAGCUGAGCAGAAGGGCAAGUGAUGAAAGAAAUGCCCUCCCCCUCCAUCCCCCAUGGCACUUGUGCCAAAGGUUUUCCUACACAAUGUAUCUAAGACAAUUGCCAAAGACUCAUUGUGAAAAAUAGUAUCAACCUGCAAAGGGAGAACUGAUGAAAACUGAAGUAUAUUUUUUCACUGUUUAUUUUUCUUGCUUUUUUGCAACAUGACUAAUUUGGAAAUAUGAUUUGUAUGAUUUCUUAUGCAUAAUCGAUAUCAUAUUGCUUGCUUCCUUAAUGGGUGAGGAAGAGGGUGGAAGGACGGAGACAAUUUGGAACUCAAAAUUUUAAAAUGUUAAAAUUUAAAAAAUAUAUAUUAAAUUUAGGGUAAGGGUUUGUACUGGUACUUCAUUAUUGCUAAAGUGAAUCUUAGUAAGAGAGAAAUAGAAUGUCAGAAGGCCAAAGAAUGUAUUUUAAUCAAGCACCUAACUCCCUCUAACACGAUAAACGAGGAUAAUAAAAAUGUCAUAUCCAGAGGAUGAGACAAGAAACUUCUUGUCUGAGAAUGUUCUAGCUCAACUGCAAGCUAAGGUGGUAUUUUAAAACCUAACUAUGUUCUCUUCAAACUAAUUAAUAACAUAGGUCUCUAAAAAAGAAAUCUCUCGUGUUCAACAUUUUUAAGUAGAAAACAACCCUGUUAAAACAUGACUGUAACAAUGGCCUGUCAGGUAAUUUCCUUCAUUAUGCACAUAAUUCUGAAAGUCUACAACUAGGAAAACAUUUUAAUUUUCUGUACUUAUCUAUAUGUACAUAUUCUACAUACUCAAUUGCCAUGUCUCAAUAUGUGUUCCUCACAUUUUCUGCAACACUUUUAUUUCUUUCUAAAGAUAGGAGAUUGAGACUGUUCUCCUUUGUACACUGAACUUCUCUAGUAUUCUACUUGGAAUUACCAAAUCAUUCUAAGAUACUUUAAAAACUGUAUCUCAAAUUGAAAUGGCACUUUUCCUCCCAAGAACUGAAUGUCAAAGGCUGCAUAACAAUUUCACUUAGAAGGAUUGGUUGAGAAUUUGGAUUUUAUUAUAAGGUUAUUUCAAACAAAUAAAUGAGAACUAUUAUGUGUCAUAAUUUGAAUUUCUUCAUGAUGUUUCUAUUGACCCAAGGUUCUGGGGCAGAUGGAUUUAUAAGCAAAUUCUAUGAAACAUUUAAAUAGCAAGUCAAAUACUUGAUAUAUUCACUAAGCAAUAAAAAUUAUCCUCAAAGAUAAAUCAAGAAGGUAUUAUAUAACAUAUAUGUAUAAUAUAUAUGGGGAAGUACUAACAGAAGAAAACACCAAAUUAAUAUAACUCAAAGUCUGAAUGGAUUAAAGUCCUCUAAUAAAAAGAAAGAAAACAGAGGAACAAAUAUAAAAGCAAGAUACAACAAUUUACCAUAUACAAGAAACAUUAAGACCUAAGGCAAGUGAGAAUUAUGAUAUGAGGACUUCCAGGCAAGAUGGCUACCUGAAAAGAGGUUUAACUGUGCAAUUCUAACAUAACUAUUAUAAAAACCUGAAAUUUAUACCAGACUGAAUGAUGAUCAAGAAACUCAAAGAAAAACUAUUGCAAGUGAUUUCUUCUACUUCAGAGCUUCACAAAAAGCUAUUCAAAAGCCCAGUGACAAUAGGAAAUGACAUCAUCAACAAAACUAACUACAGUGUAGACAAAUAAGCCUAAUGUUUCUUUGAGAAUAUUAAUGAGCCAGAUACAAAUGUAAGCUACAAGCCCUGUCAGUAUCUAGAAGCAAAAAGAGUGGAAGAUCUGAGAAAGACUCAUGUGAUCAUAAAAUUCCAGGUUGAAAACCUGGGAAAUUUCAUGAAAAGACAGUAUUGUAGAAAAGAGAAAAAGGGAAAUAAAAUUACUAUUUUUCAUGAUUGGAACUAGUAAGAUGACUACAAAAAAUAUAGAAUAAGGGAAAGGGAGAGUAACAGAUGAACUGAAAGUCAUUCUUAUUUGAAAUGUACAAAAGAAGGUUGAAUACACAUAAAUAAUUUUUUGUAGAAAUAUAUCAAACUCAUUUAUAGCUGUUCUUUUUGUAGUGGCAAAAGAUUGGAAAUUGAGAUGUUCAUCAAUUAGGGAAUGACUGAACAAAUUGUUGUAUAUGUUGGUAAUGGAAUGUUAUUGUGCUAUAUGAAAUGAUAAGCAAGAUGAUUUCAGAAAAAGCUGGAAAGGCACUGGUGGAAACCAAUGCAGAGAGAAAUAAGGAGAACUGGGAGAACGUGGUACACAAUAACAGUAAUAUUGGACUAUGAUCCUCUGUGAAAACUUAAUUACUGUUGACAAUGCAAUGAUCUGGGACAAUUAUGAAAGACAUGAUAAGGAGAGAAAAGAAAACCUUCAGAGAAAGAACUCCAGAGAAAGAAGUCAUUUUUCACAUUAGAGUAUUUUUUUUUAUUUUAGGGUUUGGGUUAUGUAUGACUUUGCUCUUACAACCAUGACCAAAAUGGAAGUGUGUUUUGCAUGAAAAUCAAAAUUAAAAAAAUGUUUAAGCUACUGAAAGGGAAUAUGUAUAUAAUCAAACUCAAGAAGCUAGAAUGGGUAAAAGGGCUUUUGAGAGCUAUCAAAAGGCAUUAAGAGAGGAUAAUUCUGAGAGGGGGUAGAUGCAACAAAACAAACAUCCUAAAAAAUAAUAGCAAAGAACUAUAAUAUAACGGGAUUGGGGGCAAUUAGGAGGCUUAGUGGAUUGGGAGCCAGGCCUAAAGACAGGAGGUCCUAGGUUCAGAGCUGGCCUCAGAUACUUCCUAGCUGUGUGACUCUGAGCAAGUCACUUAACCCCCAUUGACUAGCCCUUACCACUCUUCUGCCUUGUAACCAGUAUAUAGUAUUGAUUCUAAGAAAGAAAGUAAAGGUUUAAAAAAAGAAUCUAAUGGAAUUACAAUCAACUGGGUAAUGGCUGAACAAAUGGAUAAUGGAAUAUGAUUUUCCAGCAAGAAAUAGCAAAAUAGAUGAUUUCAAAAAAUCCUAUUUAAUAUGGACUGAUGCAGAGUAAAGUAAGCAAAAGUAGAAGUAUUUAUUCGAGAGCAACAUUGUAAAGAAAAAAAUCUUUGAAAGAUUUAAGAACUUUAAAUAAUACAAUGAUCAGUCUUGUUUCUAGAGGAUCUUAGAUGAAGAAUAUUAUCUAUCUUCUGACAGAGAUGAUAAAGCCAAAAUGAAGAAAGAGAUAUGUGUUUUUCUGUUACCAUUUAUUUAAAUAUAUUUUA